AGAACUUAGCAGAGAUGCUUUGGUGCCUUCGGGGAACUCUGAGACAGGUGCUGCAUGGCUGUCGUCAGCUCGUGUUGUGAAAUGUUGGGUUAAGUCCCGCAACGAGCGCAACCCUUAUCCUUUGUUGCCAGCGGUUAGGCCGGGAAACUCAAAGGAGACUGCCAGUGAUAAACUGGAGGAAGGUGGGGAUGACGUCAAGUCAUCAUGGCCCUUACGAGUAGGGCUACACACGUGCUACAAUGGCGCAUACAAGAGAAGCGACCUCGCGAGAGCAAGCGGACCUCAUAAAGUGCGUCGUAGUCCGGAUUGGAGUCUGCAACUCGACUCCAUGAAGUCGGAAUCGCUAGUAAUCGUGGAUCAGAAUGCCACGGUGAAUACGUUCCCGGGCCUUGUACACACCGCCCGUCACACCAUGGGAGUGGGUUGCAAAAGAAGUAGGUAGCUUAACCUUCGGGAGGGCGCUUACCACUUUGUGAUUCAUGACUGGGGUGAAGUCGUAACAAGGUAAGCGUAGUGCU
rnacentral:rRNA from 1 species